rnacentral:rRNA from 1 species
UACGUAGGGGGCAAGCGUUGUCCGGAAUCAUUGGGCGUAAAGAGCGCGUAGGCGGCCCUGUAAGUCCGCUGUGAAAGUCAAGGGCUCAACCCUUGGAUGCCGGUGGAUACUGCAGGGCUAGAGUCCGGAAGAGGCGAGUGGAAUUCCUGGUGUAGCGGUGAAAUGCGCAGAUAUCAGGAGGAACACCGGUGGCGAAGGCGGUUCUCUGGGCAUGUCCUGACGCUGAGGAGCGAAAGUGUGGGGAGCGAACAGG